AGAGUUUGAUCAUGGCUCAGGACGAACGCUGGCGGCGCGCCUAAAACAUGCAAGUCGAACGAGAAGCCCGGGCUUGCCCGGGUGGACAGUGGCGAACGGGUGAGUAACACGUGAGGAACCUGCCCCGAAGACCCGGGACAACACCGGGAAACCGGUGCUAAUACCGGAUACCUUCACCGGAUCGCAUGGUCUGGUGAAGAAAUGGAUUCCGCUUCGGGAUGGCCUCGCGGCCUAUCAGCUAGUUGGUGAGGUAACGGCUCACCAAGGCGACGACGGGUAGCUGGUCUGAGAGGAUGUCCAGCCACACUGGGACUGAGACACGGCCCAGACUCCUACGGGAGGCAGCAGUUAGGAAUCUUGCGCAAUGGACGAAAGUCUGACGCAGCGACGCCGCGUGCGGGAUGAAGGCCUUCGGGUUGUAAACCGCUUUCAGCAGGGACGAAAUUGACGGUACCUGCAGAAGAAGCCCCGGCCAACUACGUGCCAGCAGCCGCGGUAAUACGUAGGGGGCAAGCGUUGUCCGGAUUUAUUGGGCGUAAAGAGCUCGUAGGUGGUUCGGUAAGUCGGAUGUGAAAUCUCCAGGCUCAACCUGGAGGGGUCAUUCGAUACUGCCGUGACUAGAGGUCGGUAGGGGAGUGUGGAAUUCCUGGUGGAGCGGUGAAAUGCGCAGAUAUCAGGAGGAACACCCGUAGCGAAGGCGGCACUCUGGGCCGAUACUGACACUGAGGAGCGAAAGCGUGGGGAGCGAACAGGAUUAGAUACCCUAGUAGUCC
rnacentral:rRNA from 1 species